rnacentral:rRNA from 1 species
GAUGAACGCUGGCGGCGUGCCUAAUACAUGCAAGUCGAGCGAACGGACGAGAAGCUUGCUUCUCUGAUGUUAGCGGCGGACGGGUGAGUAACACGUGGAUAACCUACCUAUAAGACUGGGAUAACUUCGGGAAACCGGAGCUAAUACCGGAUAAUAUUUUGAACCGCAUGGUUCAAAAGUGAAAGACGGUCUUGCUGUCACUUAUAGAUGGAUCCGCGCUGCAUUAGCUAGUUGGUAAGGUAACGGCUUACCAAGGCAACGAUGCAUAGCCGACCUGAGAGGGUGAUCGGCCACACUGGAACUGAGACACGGUCCAGACUCCUACGGGAGGCAGCAGUAGGGAAUCUUCCGCAAUGGGCGAAAGCCUGACGGAGCAACGCCGCGUGAGUGAUGAAGGUCUUCGGAUCGUAAAACUCUGUUAUUAGGGAAGAACAUAUGUGUAAGUAACUGUGCACAUCCUGACGGUACCUAAUCAGAAAGCCACGGCUAACUACGCG